rnacentral:lncRNA from 1 species
UGCUGAACACGCCUCGACACUGGGAACCGAGCGAUUCUCUCAAUUCGCGCAGAUGCCCCCACCGAGUUCCACCUCUCGGAGACAACACGGGCACACGGAUAUUUAAGAAGGUCGCAAGCAGAAAUCAGUCAGUCCUGAACGACCGUUCUGGGCUCCAUAACCAGCCAAGCGAAGUGAGCGAGGCAGGCCGACCUGAGUCGCGACGUGCACCGUUUUGACGUGAUUCGCAAACUUAGGCUGGCCAACUCGAAACGCAAGGUGUACCGAAGUAAGACGCCUAUCCGGGGGAGGACUUCGCUGGAACGGAAUAGAAAACUGAAUUAUUAUUUUGACUUACUUUGUAUAUAAUUUAGAAUUAAUAGAUUUGCUUUAUUUU